GACGAACGCUGGCGGCGUGCUUAACACAUGCAAGUCGAACGGAAAGGCCCUGCUUUUGUUGGGUGCUCGAGUGGCGAACGGGUGAGUAACACGUGUGUAACCUGCCCUUGACUUUGGGAUAACUUCAGGAAACUGGGGCUAAUACCGGAUAGGAUCUCCUGCUGCAUGGUGGGGGUUGGAAAGUUUCGGCGGUUGGGGAUGGACUCGCGGCUUAUCAGCUUGUUGGUGGGGUAGUGGCUUACCAAGGCUUUGACGGGUAGCCGGCAUGAGAGGGUGACCGGCGACAUUGGGACUGAGAUACGGCCCAGAGUCCUACGGGAGGCAGCAGUGGGGAAUAUUGCAGAAUGGGAGGAAGCAUGAUGCAGAAACGCCGCGUGCGGGAUGACGGCCUUCGGGUUGUAAACAGAUUUCGAAUGUGACGAAGCGUGAGUGACGGUAAUGGGUAAAGAAGCAACGGCUAACUACGUG
rnacentral:rRNA from 1 species